rnacentral:snoRNA from 1 species
UGACCUUCCAAGUUUUAAAAGAAGAAGAUGAAAUUAUUUGCGUCUAUUAAAUCGUACAAUUCUUCCCUCGGGUUUUAAAGCUCGUGGGGUUUUAAUGGUGAAGACGGUUCCCGCGCAGCAAUUUUUCUUGUUACACCAAUUUUAAUGGUUUUAUAGGGACGUCUCUAGGAAAUUCUGAUUCUUUCACUACACUGGAAGGUUA